GAACUAGGGUGAAGGGUGGAGUAAAGACACAAAAUGCUACCACUAAAAUGGGAGAGGCAUGGAAACCUCAGGGUGGUUCUUUUCACCCCUGUUGAUCAAGGGAUGCUGGCUAGAAAAGGAGGUAUUCUGGAUUGCUGCCUCCUCUCAGAACCCUCUCCUACCCCGCAGCCUGCCUCCUGGUGUCUUUUUUCCUCCAAACU
rnacentral:lncRNA from 1 species